CCUACGGGUGGCAGCAGUGGGGAAUAUUGCACAAUGGGGGAAACCCUGAUGCAGCAACGCCGCGUGGGUGAAGGAGCGUUUCGGCGCGUAAAGCCCUGUCAACGGGGAAGAAGAAAGACGGUACCCGACCAAGAAGCCCCGGCUAACUACGUGCCAGCAGCCGCGGUAAUACGUAGGUGGCGAGCGUUAUCCGGAUUUAUGGGGUUUAACGGGUGCGCAGGCGGAAGAUCAAGUCAGCGGUAAAAUUGAGAGGCUAAACCUCUUCGAGCCGUUGAAACUGGUUUUCUUGAGUGAGCGAGAGGUAUGCGGAAUGCGUGGUGUAGCGGUGAAAUGCAUAGAUAUCACGCAGAACUCCGAUUGCGAAGGCAGCAUACCGGCGCUCAACUGACGCUCAUGCACGAAAGUGUGGGUAUCGAACAGGAUUAGAUACCCCGGUAGUC
rnacentral:rRNA from 1 species